rnacentral:rRNA from 1 species
AUAAAANGACUCUCGGCAACGGAUAUCUCGGCUCUUGCAUCGAUGAAGAACGUAGCGAAAUGCGAUACUUGGUGUGAAUUGCAGAAUCCCGUGAACCAUCGAGUUUUUGAACGCAAGUUGCGCCUAAAGCCAUUAGGCUGAGGGCACGCCUGCCUGGGUGUCACAA